rnacentral:rRNA from 1 species
GGUGAGUGAGUGUCCAGUAGGCGCGGUAAUGCGGAUGCGGGGGGUGUGGGCCGGAAUCAUUGGGCGUAUAGAGCGUGUAGGCGGGUUGGCAAGUCUGACGUGAAAGCCGUCGGGUCAACCGCGGUAGGUCGUUUGAAACUGCCUCGCUAGAGUCCGGAAGAGGAGAGCGGAAUUCCUGGUGUAGCGGUGGAAUGCGCAGAUAUCAGGAAGAACACCCGUGGCGAAGGCGGCUCUCUGGGACGGUACUGACGCUGAGACGCGAAAGCGUGGGGAGCGAACAGGAUUAGAUACCCUGUAGUC